UCAGCCUUCGCACAUCAAUCAGAUGAGAGGGGCAGAAAAGGAAGCAAGAGAGAAAUGAAAACAAAAGUCGAAUUCAGCUUGGGGACUCGGAGCUCUGGGGUGUUAACAAAAAGGUGUUGCAAGAAGCGAUGAAUUCUGCAGAGUGAGAAGGAUGGGGGAGUGGGAUGGAACUAAUGCGAGCGGAGGCAGGAGUUUGCCAAGUCCUGCGGGGUCGGGAAGAUCCUGCGAGCCGCGGGAGGAGCUCAGGGGAGGUCAGAGCCUAGGCUUGCAGCUGCGCCUUCCCACCUCGGCUAACAAGAGCUCCACCCCGUGGUCCCCUGCCCUCCGGCUCCUCCUUCCGGGAAGGCACUAUUCCCUCACUGAAAACCAGAGAGGAUCUCCGCCUGCGGAAAGUCAGAAUGGAGUCUGGAAGGCGCGAGCAAAAACCCUUUAAAUGUCCACGUCGCCCGCCCCCACCCCCAGCCGUGGCGGGCCCCAUCCAGCGAGAACUAGUGGCCCCAGGGGUCUGUGACUGGAGUAACUGUGGAGAAAUGUGAACAAAUACAAAUACAAAUAGACCCACAGGAACGAGAAAUUCCCUUCCUUCCUUCCUUCCUUCCUUCCUUCCUUCCUUCCUUCCUCCCUCCCUCCCUUCCUCCCUUCCUUGCGAGUUUUUCUUUGCCCUGUAGAAUCGGAACUUUUUAAGUUUUUCCUUCUUAAAGCAUAAGAGUGGAGACUAAAGCACUUGGAUCCGCCCCCGCCCCGAAGUCUCUCAUUGAAAAUUACUUUUAUUAUCUAACUCUUCCCACAGGAAGUUUCAUCUAACGGGAAAUAAAACGAUGCAGACAGACUACCCCAUACAGGUAAUGAUAAUAGUAAACAGGAAAACGGUUCUCAUCCAGAUGAGUUCAACCCGGAGGAGAAAAUAUAAAACAGAUCCCUCACAGGCUACGCCUUCCAAAAGUCUUCCGUUUCCACCCCGGCUGCCCCUUUGACUUUCACAGCAUUGUACGCGGGAAGUCCUGCGGCGGCCCAACCACUGUGCCCCUUCAGAGGAAGACCGUCGAGCAGAGGGGUUGCAGUGUCAGAAGACAGCGGGUGCGCAGAGGCAAAACCUGCAACAAAGCCUGACGUCACUAGAAUAGUCCUGAAUUAUCCAGCCUUUCUCCUCUGUCAGUAUUAGGCAACGAAAGUCAGUCUCCACUUCCAAGAGCACAGAGUGGGGUACGGAUUUAAUCCCCUGCACCGGCUCAAUGGCACUUAGGGAAUGUCAGAGGCUGACUUGAGUUUAUGGAAUUUUUAUCUCUAAAAUGAUCAUUAACAGCGGUCUGUGACUUCAAUGUUUUUAGAAGGAAGUGUGUCCACUUCAUAGGAAAUCAACAACAGAUGGCGACCAGGGUACCAUUUAAUUAAUAAAUAAACUAUUCCUGAUUUACAAUUA